ensembl:lncRNA
GUUAAUAUGGAGCAUCCCGUCCGGGACGUUGCGACGUGAGACGAGUACGCCUGGGAACAACGAGGUUAGGCACCGGCGCACUGGAGUGGAGUUGUAGUUGUGUGAGCAGCCUGAAGGCUGGAACAAAGCUAGAACAACUUACCCUCACAUUGUAUGUCUUGCUUCCUGUCUGCAAACAUCUCAAAAUGAUCCAGCCAAACUAACUGCCAGCACUUUGUCAUCCGCUGGCUCUCCGAGAUGUCCACCCUGUUUCUUCUUUCAGCGGUGACAACUCUGCGGGAGCUUAUUGUAAAG